rnacentral:snRNA from 1 species
GAUUUAGAAGCCAAUGACUUGAGUCAACAUUUGACACUCCAUUGAUCACAAUAACUGAUUCAGCUGAUCUGGCUGGCUAGAUGUGUCCCCUUCCUCCCUCUCCCACACCAUGUGUGUCCUUCCAAAAACUCCAGUCUGUACAAAAGGAUGACCAUCGAGAUAGAAGGAGAAUAGUCAUCUUUCGUUUCAACAGCUUGAUCUGAAAUGACAAUCCAGUUUGGAAAGUGUGCACCACAAGGAGAGUCAACCAAGUCACCUCCAAAUGGAUUCAUUGCAUCUAGUCUAUGCACAGGCACACUAAAUUGACAGAUAGUUUGAUUGCUUGU